rnacentral:snRNA from 1 species
AAAAUCAAAUUAUUAUAUAAUAUGCAUGAACCUUUCGCCUUUUACUAAAGAUUUGCGUGGAGAGCAACAUCUGACGAGUCUUUAAAUAAUUUUGUUGUGCCCGACGCAAGCUGGGCC